AGGGAGAGGAGAGGAGGUGGAGGGGACAGGAGAGGAGGAGAGAGGAGGUGGAGGGCUAAUUUGAACCUCUGCUUUAAAUAGAGAGGAGAGACGAGGAGAGGAGGAGAUGUGAGGAGAGGAGAGGAGGACAGGAGAGGAGGUGGAGGGCGAGUCUGAACCUUCUCUUUUAAAAGAGAGGACAGGAGAGGAGAAGAGAUGAAAGGAGAGGAGGUGGAGGGCGAGUGU